rnacentral:rRNA from 1 species
GAUGAACGCUAGCGACAGGCCUAACACAUGCAAGUCGAGGGGUAACAGGGAGCUUGCUCCGCUGACGACCGGCGCACGGGUGCGUAACGCGUAUGAAACCUACCUAUUACAGGGGAAUAGCCCAGAGAAAUUUGGAUUAAUGUCCCAUAGUUCUUUUAAACCGCAUGGUAAAAAAGAUAAAGCUACGGCGGUAAUAGAUGGUCAUGCGUGACAUUAGAUAGUUGGUGAGGUAACGGCUCACCAAGUCGACGAUGUCUAGGGGUUCUGAGAGGAAGGUCCCCCACACUGGUACUGAGACACGGACCAGACUCCUACGGGAGGCAGCAGUGAGGAAUAUUGGUCAAUGGGCGAGAGCCUGAACCAGCCAUGUCGCGUGAAGGAAGAAGGUUCUAUGGAUUGUAAACUUCUUUUAUACGGGAAUAAUAUGAACUACGUGUAGUUUUUUGAAGGUACCGUAUGAAUAAGCACCGGCUAACUCCGUGCCAGCAGCCGCGGUAAUACGGAGGGUGCGAGCGUUAUCCGGAUUUAUUGGGUUUAAAGGGUGCGUAGGCGGACUAAUAAGUCAGUGGUGAAAUCUUGCAGCUUAACUGUAAAACUGCCAUUGAUACUGUUAGUCUUGAAUUUAGUUGAGGUAGGCGGAAUGUGUUGUGUAGCGGUGAAAUGCAUAGAUAUAACACAGAACACCGAUUGCGAAGGCAGCUUACUAAGCUAUAAUUGACGCUGAUGCACGAAAGCGUGGGUAGCGAACAGGAUUAGAUACCCUGGUAGUCCACGCCGUAAACGAUGAUUACUCGUUGUUGGCAAUACAUAGUCAGCGACUGAGCGAAAGCAUUAAGUAAUCCACCUGGGGAGUACGUUGGCAACAAUG